rnacentral:tRNA from 1 species
CCGGCUGCCGUCGCGCGGAUGGCGGUGCCCGGUGAGGUCGGGCAUGACGGUGCGGGCGGGCUCGUACCCCCGCCAGCCGGCC